rnacentral:tRNA from 2 species
GGACGAUUAGCUCAGUUGGCUAGAGCGUCACAUUGACAUUGUGAAGGUCACAGGUUCAAGUCCUGUAUCGUCCA